rnacentral:tRNA from 1 species
GGCCGCCUUGACGAAGUGGUCCGGGUCGAGCCCGCCGCGGGCGAGCUGGUCCGGGCCGGAGAACGGGCUGACGGCGUUCACCGCGGCGUGGUGGCCG